rnacentral:lncRNA from 1 species
AUGAGGGGAGGAAGGAAGGAAGGAAGGAAGGAAGGAAGGAAGGAAGGAAGGAAAGUGCUAUAUUUAAGGAAUUCAGGAACAAAAGGGAGAUGUGAAUUAUCCAUAUCCACCCUGCUCACAGCUGCCCUUGUCAAUCUGGUGGCCACCUUCAUGUUAGCAGUUAGACCACAUUUUGAGGAUGAAGUAGGAUACCAGACACAAAUUCAAGAAAGAGUCCAACAAGUAUCUGUCCAUAGGAGAGAAAGAAGAGGACAACAGCUUGCAGUCGUGACCUUCAAUCGUGACCUUACGAGUCAUGGAUCUGUUGAAGAGCUCUUUUCCACAGGAAACUACUAAAAGUUAUACUUCUCCAAAGACAUCAGUACAGUUGAUUGCUGUUCAGUUUUUAGAAAUCAACUUUUUAAACUUGUAUUACUGAGAAGGGCCUUGAUGGAAAUUCACAGGUCUUGGAUUAAACAUAUAGCAUUAAGAUUAGCAUUUAAAAACAUCCUUUUAGAUUUAUAUGUAUAUAUACAUAUAUAUGUAUGUAUAUAAUUAUCUUUCUCUGCCUUCUUUAUUGAACUUAAACCACUCAUGAUAUAACAAGGUCAGUUACCAUUCCCCAUCUCACCUCCCUAUUUCCUAAAAGGGUAUAAACUAUCAUCUACUAUAUAAAUUAAAACCACAUGGUUACAAGAAAGGGCAAUACUUCCAUUUCUACAUGGUGAAGCUGUCCCAUCCUUGUUGGAUUACUUACAUGUUUGCUUGAGAAGGGAGUGAUCCCAUAUUGUGAAUGAGUGCCCUAGUCAACUGGCUGUAGAGUCAUUCUGAUGUCCUUCUGGCCCUAUGGAGGUUCAGUUAUUUCCUGGAAAGUAAGAUGAAGGAGGCUGAGAAACUAUGAACUUGGAAAAGGUCUUUGAUGGCACUCACCAAAGAAGUGUGGCUUCACCCAAAAGAGGAAUCAAACCUAAUUUUCCUCACAUCAUAUUCACCAUUGAAUUACCAACUUAAAGGUAUAGCAGCUUUUGCCUUUCUCAACAGACUGGCCAUGCUAUGCAUCAACCCUGGUAAAAUGGUUCUGAUAUCUACUUUAUUAGUCAAAAAGGGAUUUAGGCAGAAUCUUGGCACCUCACUGUUUAAUGCUAGUGGAAUUGGACUAUCAUACAUACCAGGAUUAAAUUCCUAUGAAAUUUUAUAAAUGGAAAUUUAAGUGUCCAAUGGCUUUAACCUUGGAUCCUAUAGAACUACUCAUGAGUUGUACGGGUGUGAAAUUUGGUGGUACUGUGAGCAAACGUGCUUUGUCAGUCAGGUAUUAAAUUGUUCUACUAUGCAUCACAACUUCAUCUGGAGAGUUCCCCCUUAUCUUGGGAAUAUAAUCAUUGCAACAUAAUAUUAAACCCUAUUUUUAGAAAAUAUAUAUUUAAUAAUCAGAUAGAGAUGACAAGUAUAACUGAAUACAAUAUGCAAUUUCCCUUAAGCUAGUAUUAAUACAAGUACUACUUUAAUGCAUUACACUGUAAAAAGUGAUUACUAGUUAUAGAAGGAAUUUUUGUGUGUAUGUGUGGCAAUGUGAGUUCAUUAGCAGUUAUUUUCUCUUCCUCUGAACAGUUUUAAAGAAGGUUCUGCUAUGUUUCUGCUUCUGUUAUAUUUUUGAACUUAGUAUUCUCAUCAUGAUGCAUGCAUCUUCUGCAAUGCUAUUUAUUCCAAGUAUGUGUCAACAGAAAAAAAAAAAUAGACAAAGAAAUUGUAAGGUAUGCUUAAAAACACACUGAGAACUAACGGAGACAAUCAUCUUAUUUGUAUUUUGCUAAUGUGUCUGUCUAUUCAUUUGAUAAGCAUUAAAAUAAACUUCAAAUAUAAUACA